GAUGAACGCUAGCUACAGGCUUAACACAUGCAAGUCGAGGGGAAACGAUAGAGAAAGCUUGCUUUUUCUAGGCGUCGACCGGCGCACGGGUGAGUAACGCGUAUCCAACCUGCCCACCACUUGGGGAUAACCUUGCGAAAGUAAGACUAAUACCCAAUGAUAUCCCAAGAACACAUCCGAAUGAGACUAAAGAUUUAUCGGUGAUGGAUGGGGAUGCGUCUGAUUAGCUUGUUGGCGGGGUAACGGCCAACCACGGCGACGAUCAGUAGGGGUUCUGAGAGGAAGGUACCCCACAUUGGAGCUGAGACACGGUCCAAACUCCUACGGGAGGCAGCAGUGAGGAAUAUUGGUCAAUGGGCGAGAGCCUGAACCAGCCAAGUAGCGUGCAGGAUGACGGCCCUAUGGGUUGUAAACUGCUUUUAUAAGGGAAUAAAGUGAGUCUCGUGAGGCUUUUUGCAUGUACCUUAUGAAUAAGGACCGGCUAAUUCCGUGCCAGCCGCCGCAGUAA
rnacentral:rRNA from 1 species